CUGGAGGUCAGAAUAAAGCUGAGGUGAGCCAAGCUGGUGUUUUUGUCUCUUACAGAAGCUCCUUUGGAUAUCUGAGCACGGUUAUCCGUCUCUCUCUCUCUGUGUCUCUACCGGAGGUUGCUUGCUGUCCUUGGUUCUCUCACUCUCACUCCGAAGCUGUUUCUUCAGCAGCUGCUUUUGUGUACUGAGAAGAACAUUUUGCAGAGGGAAGGACUGCUGCACAAAGGUAGAGCCACCAAAUGUGUGAAGCAAUAUGUGCCAUUGCCUCUUAACGGACACAUGGAGCCAAGAGAGACCUGCUGGAAACUGAACAGCUGCAACAAAUAUUAAAGUUAUUGGCUGUCACAUGGAGGUGGCUAAAGUUUUAGUUAGCCAUUUCCAACCAAUCUUUGGCUUUUUAAGCUUUACUGAAAAAUUAGAUUUCCUGGUCUCAAAAUCUUGCAGUUUCCUCUGACUGGCUCUGUAUAUACUUCUGUAUUUUGCGAAAGCCAAAACAUCUGAAAAAUCAACAAAGUCCACUGCAUUACAAAAGGGUCUCUACUUUGCAUUAUGAUCCUCAUGGCACAUCGCAACCUCCAGUAUGGAUUACAGCAUCCAUUUUGUAGUGGAGGCUUGGCAUCUAUCUGAAUGGUUAUGUCUCAGAAGCUAUCACAGAGACAAGAUGAGGUCUGAGGUGGAGCUGUCAAGUGGUGCCAUAAGCCUGUGGGCCAGGAGAAACAAUGGUACCAAAAUGAGAAGGCACCAUUAUUUGCACAGUUGCAGAAACACUGCCACAGGACUAUGACUACAGUUUUUACUGUCUAAGUUAAUUUCAACACCUUAAAGUGGUGUUUAUUGGUCAAAGCCACCAAGGGACAAUGUAUUAAAAGAUUUUUAUUGGUUUUGCAUGGACAAAUAUUUUAUUUAAAAAAUGAUAAAGCAUGUGGCAAAAAUGCCAAAUAUCAACAUUUUGUGAUAUACUAACAUGAAAUGUUUUCACAUCAUGUAUUCUUAAUGAUCAAAGUAUCUCACGAGUGAUAAUAAUUUUCUAUAUUUUCAACUGAAAUUUGCUGAUCAAGUCAGUCUCACGCUGACGGUUGUGCACCAGUAGCAGCAAAUUGGAUGUCCAUAGUUUGUACUGCAUAGUGGGUAGAUAUAAAUGUACGUGAAUUCUUAAUGUAAUGCUUCUCUAUUUGUAAGCUUUUGUAUACACAAUGCAGCACCUAGUCUGCCUGGUAGAAGAUUUUGCUUUGUAAUUGCCUAUGCAUGCAGUGCUGGUCUUUGAAAUAUUCUAGAAACUAGCUUUUUAAUUCAGUGACACUUAUGCACAGAUCAGUAUUAGUGUUAGAGAUAACAAUACACAGCUUCACAUUAUGAAUAUGCAAAACCUAGGAGAGAAAGAAGUGGCCUAACAAGAAGUAGUAAAGACAAAGUGCACAAACAAGUCCUCACACCUCCACUGAGGAGGGAUGAAGAGCAUA